rnacentral:tRNA from 1 species
GCAGGGAUGACGGAGUGGCCAAACGUGCUAGGUUCAGGGCCUAGUGGCUUAGUGCCUACGAGGGUUCGAAUCCCUCUCCCUGCA